GAGCAGGAACAUUGUCAGGCCACGUAGAAGCAAGGAAAACAUGUUGCAUGAAGUAAUGCAGCAUUCAAGUAAUGAAAAUCAAAAAGUGCAGGAGUGGUGGGACAGUGCAAGUAGGAUCCACCAGCAGAACGAGGACUGCCAGCACAAAAGCAUGGUGCUCCGGCAGCAAAGCACGGAUCGGCUGGUAAGCAUA